rnacentral:rRNA from 1 species
AACGCUGGCGGCGUGCCUAACACAUGCAAGUCGAACGGAGUAUUACGCUGAAAUUGAGAGCAGCUUGCUGCAGGAAAUUUCUUGUAAUACUUAGUGGCGGACGGGUGAGUAACGCGUGAGGAACCUGCCUUACAGAGGGGGACAACAGUUGGAAACGACUGCUAAUACCGCAUAACAUAUCGAGAGGACAUCCUCUAGAUAUCAAAGGAGCAAUCCGCUGUAAGAUGGCCUCGCGUCCGAUUAGAUAGUUGGCGGGGUAACGGCCCACCAAGUCGACGAUCGGUAGCCGGACUGAGAGGUUGAACGGCCACAUUGGGACUGAGACACGGCCCAGACCCCUACGGGAGGCAGCAGUGGGGGAUAUUGCACAAUGGAGGAAACUCUGAUGCAGCAACGCCGCGUGAGGGAAGAAGGUUUUCGGAUUGUAAACCUCUGUUUUCGGUGACGAAACAAAUGACGGUAGCCGAAGAGGAAGCCACGGCUAACUACGUGCCAGCCGCGGC